GGGGUGCUCGAGUGGCGAACGGGUGAGUAACACGUGAGUAACCUGCCCUUGACUUUGGUAUAACUUCAGGAAACUGGGGCUAAUACCGGAUAGGAGCUCCUGCUGCAUGGUGGGGGUUGGAAAGUUUCGGCGGUUGGGGAUGGACUCGCGGCUUAUCAGCUUGUUGGUGGGGUAGUGGCUUACCAAGGCUUUGACGGGUAGCCGGCCUGAGAGGGUGACCGGCCACAUUGGGACUGAGAUACGGCCCAG
rnacentral:rRNA from 1 species